rnacentral:rRNA from 1 species
CCUACGGGGGGCAGCAGUGAGGAAUAUUGGUCAAUGGACGAAAGUCUGAACCAGCCAAGUAGCGUGAAGGAUGACUGCCCUAUGGGUUGUAAACUUCUUUUAUAUGGGAAUAAAAUGUUCCACGUGUGGGAUUUUGUAUGUACCAUAUGAAUAAGGAUCGGCUAACUCCGUGCCAGCAGCCGCGGUAAUACGGAGGAUCCGAGCGUUAUCCGGAUUUAUUGGGUUUAAAGGGAGCGUAGGUGGAUUGUUAAGUGAGUUGUGAAAGUUUGCGGCUCAACCGUAACAUUGCAGUUGAAACUGGCAGUCUUGAGUACAGUAGAGGUGGGCGGAAUUCGUGGUGUAGCGGUGAAAUGCUUAGAUAUCACGAAGAACUCCGAUUGCGAAGGCAGUUCACUGGACUGCAACUGACACUGAGGCUCGAAAGUGUGGGUAUCAAACAGGAUUAGAUACCCCUGUAGUC